GACGAACGCUGGCGGCGUGCUUAACACAUGCAAGUCGAACGAAGAGCGAUGGAAGCUUGCUUCGAUCAAUCUUAGUGGCGUACGGGUGAGUAACGCGUAAUCAACCUGCCCUUCAGAGGGGGACAACAGUUGGAAACGACUGCUAAUACCGCAUACGAUCUAAUCUCGGCAUCGAGGAUAGAUGAAAGGUGGCCUCUACAUGUAAGCUAUCACUGAAGGAGGGGAUUGCGUCUGAUUAGCUAGUUGGAGGGGUAACGGCCCACCAAGGCGAUGAUCAGUAGCCGGUCUGAGAGGAUGAACGGCCACAUUGGGACUGAGGCACGGCCCAGACUCCUACGGGAGGCAGCAGUGGGGAAUCUUCCGCAAUGGACGAAAGUCUGACGGAGCAACGCCGCGUGAGUGAUGACGGCCUUCGGGUUGUAAAGCUCUGUUAAUCGGGACGAAAGGCCUUCUUGCGAAUAGUGAGAAGGAUUGACGGUACCGGAAUAGAAAGCCACGGCUAACUACGUG
rnacentral:rRNA from 1 species